UACGUAGGGGGCAAGCGUUGUCCGGAAUUAUUGGGCGUAAAGAGCGUGUAGGCGGCCUGACAAGUCUGCUGUGAAAACUCGAGGCUCAACCUCGAGAUGUCGGCGGAAACUGUCUGGCUAGAGUCCGGAAGAGGAAAGUGGAAUUCCUGGUGUAGCGGUGAAAUGCGUAGAUAUCAAGAGGAACACCUGCGGCGAAGGCGGGUUGCUGGGCCGACACUGACGCUGAUGCGCGAAAGCUAGGGGAGCGAACGGG
rnacentral:rRNA from 1 species